rnacentral:rRNA from 1 species
GUGUCAGCCGCCGCGGUAAUACGGAGGAUGCGAGCGUUAUCCGGAUUUAUUGGGUUUAAAGGGUGCGCAGGCGGGAUUUUAAGUCAGCGGUGAAAUUUUCAGGCUCAACCUGAACACUGCCGUUGAAACUGGGAUUCUUGAGUAUGGAUGAAGUAGGCGGAAUUUGUUUUGUAGCGGGGACAUGCUUAGAUAUAACGAGGAACUCCGAUUUCGUAGGCAGUUUACUAAGC